AGGAGGGACCUUCAAAGGGUCCAGCUAGCUCAGAGUAUCUGCAGUAGUCGUGCGUCAGUGCGCCACCACCGGGCCGAGUCCAUUUUCCGCCGCCUUCCUUGACAAAGUAGGGUUUUGUUUAUUUAUUUUUGUACUUGUAACCUACUCUGUAUAAAUGCUCUGAUAUUGCCCUAGAACACUUGUCUAACUGUUAGUAUGUAAAAUCUUUGUAUACUGGCAGUUGGUGUAUAUUUUUA